rnacentral:rRNA from 1 species
GAUAAACGCUGGCGGCGUGCUUUAUGCAUGCAAGUCGAACGGUUUCGAUUUAUUGGAACAGUGGCAAACGGGUGAGUAAUGCGUAAGUAACCUGUCCUUAAGUAGGGAAUAACUCUGAGAAAUUGGAGCUAAUACCUUAUGUGGUGGUGGGGAUAAGGCUCCAUCACUAAAGCCUUAGGACGCUUGGGGAGGGGCUUGCGUCCGAUUAGCUAGUUGGUAGGGUAAUGGUUUACCAAGGCGAUGAUCGGUAGCUGGUUUGAGAGGAUGGCCAGCCACACUGGGACUGAGACACGGCCCAGACUCCUACGGGAGGCAGCAGCAAGGAAUUUUGUGCAAUGAGCGAAAGCCUGACACAGCGACGCCGCGUGGGGGAUGAAGGCUUUCGGGUUGUAAACCCCUUUUCUCAGGGAAGAAUAAUGACGGUACCUGAGGAAUAAGUCUUGGCUAACUACGUG